AAAGGUGGCUAUAGCGUGGGUGUACACCUCUUCCCAUUCCGAACAGAGCAGUUAAGCCCCACCGCGCCGAUGGUACUGGACUAAACCUCCGGAAGAGUAGGUCGCCGCCAACC
rnacentral:rRNA from 1 species